rnacentral:misc_RNA from 1 species
GAAAUGCGAUAAGUAAUGUGAAUUGCAGAAUUCAGUGAAUCAUCGAAUCUUUGAACGCACAUUGCGCCCUUUGGUAUUCCGAGGGGCAUGCCUGUUCGAGCGUCAUUUAAAAACGUCAAGCACCGCUUGGUCUUGGGUGGGGUCUCCGGGCCCGCCUGUAACUGGUUGGCGGCACCGUCCGGCUUCAAGCGUAGCAAAACCCUCGCUUCAGGAGUCCGUACGGGUCGGCCUCGUUGUACCUAAAGUUUGACCUCGGAUCAGGUAGGGAUACCCGCUGAACUUAA